AUACGGAGGAUCCGAGCGUUAUCCGGAUUUAUUGGGUUUAAAGGGUGCGCAGGCUGACCGGUAAGUCAGGGGUUGAAACUUUACAGCUUAACUGUAAACGUGCCUUUGAUACUGCCGGACUAGAGUUUAAGAGACGUAAUUGGAAUGUGAUGUGUAGCGGUGAAAUGCUUAGAUAUAUCACAGAACGCCGAUCGUGAAGACAGAUUACGAACUUAAUACUGACGCUCAUGCACGAAAGCGUGGGGAUC
rnacentral:rRNA from 1 species